CUAACAUGUAUGCAAGCAGGUGGGCGGCAAACCCAUUGAUGCGCAAGUAAACUGACAGGUGGGACCCCCGUAAAAAAGGGUGCACCAUCGACCGACCGUGAUCUUCUGUGAAAGGUUUGAGUGUGAGCAUACCUGUUGGGACCCGAAAGAUGGUGAACUAUGCCUGAGCAGGGCGAAGCCAGAGGAAACUCUGGUGGAGGCUCGUAGCGAUACUGACGUGCAAAUCGUUCGUCAGACUUGGGUAUAGGGGCGAAAGACUAAUCGAACCAUCUAGUAGCUGG
rnacentral:ncRNA from 1 species